UUAAGCGACUAAGCGUACACGGUGGAUGCCCUGGCAGUCAGAGGCGAUGAAGGACGUGCUAAUCUGCGAAAAGCGCCGGCGAGGUGAUAUGAACCCUUGACCCGGCGAUGUCCGAAUGGGGAAACCCAGUGCAAUCCGUUGCACUAUCGUUAACUGAAUACAUAGGUUAACGAGGCGAACCGGGGGAACUGAAACAUCUAAGUACCCCGAGGAAAAGAAAUCAACCGAGAUUCCCCCAGUAGCGGCGAGCGAACGGGGAGCAGCCCGGAGUCUGAAUCAGCUUGUGUGUUAGUGGAACGGUCUGGAAAGUCCGACGGUACAGGGUGAUAGUCCCGUACACGAAAGCACACUUGCUGUGAACUCGAAGAGUAGGGCGGGACACGUGGUAUCCUGUCUGAAUAUGGGGGGACCAUCCUCCAAGGCUAAAUACUCCUGACUGACCGAUAGUGAACCAGUACCGUGAGGGAAAGGCGAAAAGAACCCCGGCGAGGGGAGUGAAAAAGAACCUGAAACCGUGUACGUACAAGCAGUGGGAGCCUCUUUAUGGGGUGACUGCGUACCUUUUGUAUAAUGGGUCAGCGACUUAUAUUCUGUAGCAAGGUUAACCGUAUAGGGGAGCCGAAGGGAAACCGAGUCUUAACUGGGCGUUAAGUUGCAGGGUAUAGACCCGAAACCCGGUGAUCUAGCCAUGGGCAGGUUGAAGGUUGGGUAACACUAACUGGAGGACCGAACCGACUAAUGUUGAAAAAUUAGCGGAUGACCUGUGGCUGGGGGUGAAAGGCCAAUCAAACCGGGAGAUAGCUGGUUCUCCCCGAAAGCUAUUUAGGUAGCGCCUCGUGAACUCAUCUUCGGGGGUAGAGCACUGUUUCGGCUAGGGGGCCAUCCCGGCUUACCAACCCGAUGCAAACUACGAAUACCGAAGAAUGUUAUCACGGGAGACACACGGCGGGUGCUAACGUCCGUCGUGAAGAGGGAAACAACCCAGACCGCCAGCUAAGGUCCCAAAGUCAUGGUUAAGUGGGAAACGAUGUGGGAAGGCACAGACAGCCAGGAUGUUGGCUUAGAAGCAGCCAUCAUUUAAAGAAAGCGUAAUAGCUCACUGGUCGAGUCGGCCUGCGCGGAAGAUGUAACGGGGCUAAACCAUGCACCGAAGCUGCGGCAGCGACACUAUGUGUUGUUGGGUAGGGGAGCGUUCUGUAAGCCGUUGAAGGUGGCCUGUGAGGGUUGCUGGAGGUAUCAGAAGUGCGAAUGCUGACAUAAGUAACGAUAAAGCGGGUGAAAAGCCCGCUCGCCGGAAGACCAAGGGUUCCUGUCCAACGUUAAUCGGGGCAGGGUGAGUCGACCCCUAAGGCGAGGCCGAAAGGCGUAGUCGAUGGGAAACAGGUUAAUAUUCCUGUACUUGGUGUUACUGCGAAGGGGGGACGGAGAAGGCUAUGUCAGCCGGGCGACGGUUGUCCCGGUUUAAGCAUGUAGGCGGAGGUUCCAGGUAAAUCCGGUACCUUUUAACGCUGAGGUGUGAUGACGAGGCACUACGGUGCUGAAGUGAUAAAUGCCCUGCUUCCAGGAAAAGCCUCUAAGCAUCAGGUAACACGAAAUCGUACCCCAAACCGACACAGGUGGUCAGGUAGAGAAUACCAAGGCGCUUGAGAGAACUCGGGUGAAGGAACUAGGCAAAAUGGUGCCGUAACUUCGGGAGAAGGCACGCUGAUGUGUAGGUGAAGCCCCUGCGGGCGGAGCUGAAAUCAGUCGAAGAUACCAGCUGGCUGCAACUGUUUAUUAAAAACACAGCACUGUGCAAACACGAAAGUGGACGUAUACGGUGUGACGCCUGCCCGGUGCCGGAAGGUUAAUUGAUGGGGUUAGCUGUAAGGCGAAGCUCUUGAUCGAAGCCCCGGUAAACGGCGGCCGUAACUAUAACGGUCCUAAGGUAGCGAAAUUCCUUGUCGGGUAAGUUCCGACCUGCACGAAUGGCGUAAUGAUGGCCAGGCUGUCUCCACCCGAGACUCAGUGAAAUUGAACUCGCUGUGAAGAUGCAGUGUACCCGCGGCAAGACGGAAAGACCCCGUGAACCUUUACUAUAGCUUGACACUGAACACUGGUCCUUGAUGUGUAGGAUAGGUGGGAGGCUUUGAAGCGUGGACGCCAGUCUGCGUGGAGCCAACCUUGAAAUACCACCCUUUAAUGGCUGGUGUUCUAACGUAGACCCGUAAUCCGGGUUGCGGACAGUGUCUGGUGGGUAGUUUGACUGGGGCGGUCUCCUCCCAAAGAGUAACGGAGGAGCACGAAGGUUGGCUAAUCCUGGUCGGACAUCAGGAGGUUAGUGCAAUGGCAUAAGCCAGCUUGACUGCGAGCGUGACGGCGCGAGCAGGUGCGAAAGCAGGUCAUAGUGAUCCGGUGGUUCUGAAUGGAAGGGCCAUCGCUCAACGGAUAAAAGGUACUCCGGGGAUAACAGGCUGAUACCGCCCAAGAGUUCAUAUCGACGGCGGUGUUUGGCACCUCGAUGUCGGCUCAUCACAUCCUGGGGCUGAAGUAGGUCCCAAGGGUAUGGCUGUUCGCCAUUUAAAGUGGUACGCGAGCUGGGUUUAGAACGUCGUGAGACAGUUCGGUCCCUAUCUGCCGUGGGCGCUGGAGAAUUGAGGGGGGCUGCUCCUAGUACGAGAGGACCGGAGUGGACGCAUCACUGGUGUUCGGGUUGUCAUGCCAAUGGCACUGCCCGGUAGCUAAAUGCGGAAGAGAUAAGUGCUGAAAGCAUCUAAGCACGAAACUUGCCCCGAGAUGAGUUCUCCCUGAGACUUUAAGUCUCCUGAAGGAACGUUGAAGACGACGACGUUGAUAGGUCGGGUGUGUAAGCGCAGCGAUGCGUUGAGCUAACCGAUACUAAUGAACCGUGAGGCUUAACCUU
rnacentral:rRNA from 1 species